AAGUAUCUUAUCUUUCUUUAUAUUAUUUUUGUUUCCCUGCUCAUUUUCUCUUAUUAGUUGGUGCUUUUGUUGAAAUUUGUCAAUUGUUCAAAUUUCUCAUGAGUUAGACGUAACAGUUUUGAGGUCCGUGACCUGAAAGAAGGAAUAAGUUUUGCACAUAUGAGGUGUUGAUGUUCGUAGGAAAUGGCUCACUGAUUAAACGAUUUAAACUGUUAGCAAUACUAUUAGGAUGCGUUUGGCAUCCAGCAUUACACAGCAUUACCAUCCCGUAUAGCAUUAAAUUAAUACAACCCUAAAAACUGACUUCGUAUUAUACGGUAUACCGCAUAACAUUACUGUUGUUAUACAGUUAAAGCCGCAUUAACUAAACCCGUGCGGGUAUCGGGUUUACGCGUGAUUGCUUAUAAAGAAAGGGAAAAAAAAAAAGAGUAAUAGUUUUUCUUCUUCAGAACACGAUUGAGCCACAGAACACGUCUUCUCUUUGCUUCCAUUCUCUUCUCAAAACCCAAUCUAUCGCCGACACCGGCUCAGCCAUAACAUUUAUCACCGACACUGGCACGGCAGCAGCCACUUUGAGUACUCGAUGCUGUCAAUGCCGUCAAGUUCUCCCGCGCGGCACCCCUACUCCACCAUCUCUAUGCCGCGAGUCCGCAGCCACUGCACGAUAUCACAACAAAUUCAUAUUAGCAUUUUUGCCUUUAUCCAUAACUUGAGUGUUUUAAAUUAUAAAAGCCAUUUUUUUUAAAAAGAUAAAAAAGAAAAAUCAGACCCCUGUGACAGUGUUACUUAUUCUUUUUUGCUUAUUUUCUUCUUCGGAAGAAAAGGAUUUAAAGGGAGGAAAAAGGAUUUAUCGACAAAAUAAAUAAAUAAAUAAAUGAAGGAUGCAAAGAACCGAAAAAAAAUAAUUGUGGAAUGAUAACAAGGGGAGAAAAAAGAAACAGAGGAAGGAAAGAACAGAGAAGAAAUUAAAGAGGGUUGAAGGUUGAAGGUUGAAGGUUGAAGAUUGAAGAUUUUGUCCUGUUAAAGAGGGAGAUAAAGAGAUAAGGAUGACGUGUCAAUGCAUAGACACAACUUUGUGUUUAUUAUUUUAUAAUUUUAUUUUACCAAUUUUUUUAUAGAAUUUAUUUUACCGUUUGUUUUAUUAAAUAAGCAAAAUAUAUAUUAAUUGUUUUGUCAUUCAUUCCUAUUAAAUGUAUGUUUUAUUAUUUAUUUAUAUUGUGAUAACUUUUUAAAAGUUAUUUGAUUAAAUUAUUUGAUUCGAUUGUUAUUUCAAAGUUUAUUUAAUUUGGAAAAUGCUAAAAAAGAAAAUAUUAUGUCACC
rnacentral:lncRNA from 1 species